ACGGAAGGCAGCAGUGGGGAAUAUUGCACAAUGGGCGAAAGCCUGAUGCAGCGACGCCGCGUGAGUGAAGAAGUAUCUCGGUAUGUAAAGCUCUAUCAGCAGGGAAGAAAAUGACGGUACCUGACUAAGAAGCCCCGGCUAACUACGUGCCAGCAGCCGCGGUAAUACGUAGGGGGCAAGCGCUAUCCGGAUUUACUGGGUGUAAAGGGAGCGUAGACGGUUUGGCAAGUCUGAAGUGAAAUGCGGGGGCUCAACUCCUGAACUGCUUUGGAAACUGUCGAACUAGAGUGCAGGAGAGGUAAGUGGAAUUCCUAGUGUAGCGGUGAAAUGCGUAGAUAUUAGGAGGAACACCAGUGGCGAAGGCGGCUUACUGGACUGUAACUGACGUUGAGGCUCGAAAGCGUGGGGAGCAAACAGGAUUAGAUACCCUGGUA
rnacentral:rRNA from 1 species